rnacentral:lncRNA from 1 species
CACUCUCUUAGUAUAAAGCGGAGCAGGACCGUUGGCCUGAUCUGACUCCCCACCCAACCGCCCUGGCGUAUGUUUCCGAAUCAACUGCAUCGUAAGCUGCUAUAGCUCUUGCCAACUACCCUGGAAAUGAAAAAGAAACUCUAUCCUCAACCCUUCCAAUCCUUAGUUCAUGGUGGCAACUUCACCCCGUGCAUCCUUUGGUUGUGAGCCCCGCCUAGAGGGAGGCGCUAAGGGAAGGGCGUAGCGUUAAAUCUGCCUCGCCUUUCAG